GAUGAACGCUGGCGGCGUGCCUAAUACAUGCAAGUCGAGCGAACUGAUUAGAAGCUUGCUUCUAUGACGCUAGCGGCGGCCGGGUGAGUAACACGUGGGCAACCUGCCUGUAAGACUGGGAUAACUUCGGGAAACCGAAGCUAAUACCGGAUAGGAUCUUCUCCUUCAUGGGAGAUGAUUGAAAGAUGGUUUCGGCUAUCACUUACAGAUGGGCCCGCGGUGCAUUAGCUAGUUGGUGAGGUAACGGCUCACCAAGGCAACGAUGCAUAGCCGCCCUGAGAGGGUGAUCGGCCAGACUGGGACUGAGACACGGCCCAGACUCCUACGGGAGGCAGCAGUAGGGAAUCUUCCGCAAUGGACGAAAGUCUGACGGAGCAACGCCGCGUGAGUGAUGAAGGCUUUCGGGUCGUAAAACUCUGUUGUUAGGGAAGAACAAGUACGAGAGUAACUGCUCGUACCUUGACGGUACCUAACCAGAAAGCCACGGCUAACUACGUGCCAGCCGCCGCAGUAA
rnacentral:rRNA from 1 species